rnacentral:tRNA from 3 species
GCCGACGUAGCUCAAUCGGCAGAGCGGCCGCCUUGUAAGCGGUUGGUUACGGGUUCAAGUCCCGUCGUCGGCU